rnacentral:rRNA from 1 species
UGGCUCAGUAACACGUGGAGAAUCUAACCUUUGGUGGAGGAUAAUCUCGGGAAACUGAGAAUAAUACUCCAUAAACAUAGGAUGCUGGAAUGCUUCUAUGUUGAAAGGCAACGCCAAAGGAUGACUCUGCGACCUAUCAGGCUGUAGUGAGUGUAAUGGACUCACUAACCUGCAACGGGUACGGGUGUUGGAAGACAUUGCCCAGAGAUGGACUCUGAGACAUGAGUCCAGGUUCUACGGAACGCAGCAGGCGCGAAAACUCCGCAAUGUACGAAAGUACGACGGGGGAAUUCUGAGUGCUUACGCCUUGCGUAGGCUGUUUUCUUGUCUAAAAAACAAGGAGAGUAAGGGCUGGGUAAGACGGGUGCCAUCUCGUGCAAUUCUGCACUUAUUGUGUUCGUUGCACGAAGCACAAGCCGCCGCGGUAAUACCCGCGGCCCGAGUGGUGCUCAUUAUUAUUGAGCCUAAGACGUCCGUAGCCGGUUUAAUAAAUUCUUGGGUAAAUCAUAUCGCUUAACGAUAUGAAUUCUGAGAACACUGCUAAACUCGGGAAUGGGAGAGGCCAGAGGUACUUUCAGGGUAGGGGUAAAAUCCCGUAAUCCUGAGAGGACCACCGGUGGCGAAGGCGUCUGGCUAGAACAUAUUCGACGGUAAGGGACGAAGCCCUGGGGCGCAAACGGGAUUAGAUACCCCGGUAGUCCAGGGUGUAAACGCUGUAGAUUUGGUGUUGGAAAUCCUACGGGGAUUCCCAGUGCCGGAGAGAAGUUGUUAAAUCUACUGCUUGGGGAGUACGGUCGCAAGACUGAAACUUAAAGGAAUUGGCGGGGGAGCACCGCAACGGGUGGAGCGUGCGGUUUAAUUGGAUUCAACGCCGAGAAACUCACCGGGGGCGACCAUUAUAUGAAGGCCAAGCCAAUGACUUUGCC